rnacentral:rRNA from 1 species
ACGGCCAUACCACAUUGAAAACACCGGCUCUCGUCCGAUCACCGAAGUUAAGCAAUCUCGGGCCCGGUCAGUACUUGGGAGGGUGACCACCUGGGAACACCGGGUGCUGUAGGCU